UCUGCCCACUGAUAUAAAUUAAAGGGCUGCAGUAUUUUGACUGUACAAAGGUAGCAUAAUCAAUAGUUUUUUAAUUGAAAACUUGAAUGAAAGAUUUGAUGAAAUAUAGACUGUCUCAUAUUUAUUAUUAAAAAUUUAUUUUUUAGUUAAAAAGCUAAAAUAAUUUUAAAAGACGAGAAGACCCUAUAGAGUUUUAUAUUUAUAUUUAUUAAAAAUUUAUAUGAAAAUUAUUAAAAAAAAAAAUAAAUUAAAAUAUUAUGUUGGGGUGACAAAAAAAUAAAAUUAACUUUUUUAUAUAAAUUUAUACUAAUAAGUAAAUAAUUGAUCCAUAAAUAAUGAUUAAAAGAAAAAAUUACCUUAGGGAUAACAGCGUAAUAUUUUUUUUUAGUACAUAUAAAAAAAAAAGAUUGCGACCUCGAUGUUGGAUUAAGAUAAAAUUUAAAUGCAAAAGUUUAAAAUUU
rnacentral:rRNA from 1 species